AGAGAGGAGGAGGAGGAGGAGGAGAGAGAAGGGGGGGGGGAUCAGUUAGUGAGAUUUGCUCUUAGAAGCCACUCGCUACAGCAUAGCUGGUGCAUGAACAGCUAGCUGGGAGGUCAGCUGAUCCACCUGAGAAAGGAGGGGGCCGGGAGCGAAAAGAGGUGCAGGGACAGAGAGAGAGGGUAGAUAGAGAUUUUACUGAGGGAGGGUGGGGGGAAGAAACCAAGAAGAUAGCUGGCAGGUAAGAGAUCCACCUGUGAGAUGGGAGAACAUCAGCAGAUCAAUGAAGAGGAGGAAGAGGCAUCAACAGGAGGAACAGUCAGUGAGGAUGAACUACGGACUGGGAAACCUGGACAUCUUCAUUAAAAAGAGAUAAACCUGAGAAGAUUAAUGCUCUCCCUUUCUAGCUGAAUAAAGACGGACAAAUCAGUCACUUCCAUUACAGACUGACCAACUUUCAAAAGGCAUUUUUAAGCCUGUAACGGCAAGUGUGCCAUAUUUGAUGAAUUUUAGAAACCUCUAAAGAAUCGGUGUGAUUUUUAUAACCCCCCGUUUACAUUUCUGUUUAAGAUAAACUAAAUUGGAGUUUUCUGGCAUCAUUUCAUAGAUCAGGCUGUACAGAAUUAAGCACUGAAUGCCACAAAAACAGAUCCUGACCAAAUCCAAGCAAAACUCCACAGAUGAAGCACAUCUUCUCAUAGACUACCUUCAUUAAAUAUUAAUAUGACUAGACCCUAGAAUAGGCACAUCACAAGGGCCAAGAAUGAGCCUCUCUGUCUCUCUUCUGGGCAAAUUUCUUGCUUUACAUUCUUGGAACAACUUGGCAAGAGAGCAGCUGAUCAUUUUUUUUCCCUGAAAUUAUUCAACAAAUAAUUAAAGGUACUUUUGUGAAGCUUGAAGCUGAUAUCUGAUAGCUCACCAGGUUGAGCAGGCCACCCAUUAUGGCAUAGGGCUACAGUCGAAGCCCAGGUUUGAGUUUUCUGUGCCUUUUCUCUGCUCUGAUUUUAGAUUAAAUGAUUGUCAAUAAAGGCUAGAACAGCUACAAAUAUAUUUUUAAAAGAAAACUUUUAAGAGGCAAAUUUACUAAAGAGACAUAGCCACAGCUAUAUCUCUGACUGUUUGAACCGAAAGCUACGUACAUCUUUUUUUAUACAGUGUGCAUGUGGGAUAUCAGAUUGAGAGACAAGACAGUGGAGCACUGAAAGGGACACAUACAGUAGAGGAAGCUCAAACUGACAAAAAAAAAGAGGGGGGGGGUAAGACAGGCGAUAAACUGCUACAGGGUUGGGCGAGGUUACUAAAAUGCACUAACUGCUCUCUGGGAUAACUUUGUUUUACAUGUAGCUAAAAGCAAUACCUUAACGGUUACUCCAUCCACCUGCAAUAGCCACGGGACAGAGGAGGCAGAAGCGUAAAGGGCCACAGGGUGGAGAGUUCAAGGGCAAAAGGAAGGCAGAGGAAAAGAAGCACAUAGUGAUAAAAAUGCUACAGCUGUCUAUGGAGAUAAUGUAAGCAGGCCAUGUUUGGGGUGAGCUCAAUGCUGAGGAGCAACCGAAACGUGAGCUACAGCUCUGAUGUAAAGUUUACAUACACUCCUCAUGGAUGAGUGAUUGCACACGAGACAUCUUUAAGAGUUAAAAAUAAAAUAAUAAUUUUAUACAAAAGUUAAAAUUUAAAAAGAACAGAGACAGUUCACCAGUUAUAUCCAUGAGUGUAUGUAAACUUUCAAAUUCAAACUGCAUAUGCUGGGUAAUGAGGUAGCAGCAGUCAUUAAUUAGGAUAACUGGUUACUCUGGUCUUAGCAGGUAAUUCAGGUCAAAACAUAUGAAGCAGAAGUGAGAAGCUUGCGUGGACACAAAACAAGAAACCGACAGAUCUGUCCCUAAAUCCAUUCUUCUACGUUUUCUAAUGGAAAGUUAGCUCAGUGUUAUUUCUUUGAGUUUUUAGAAGUUGUUUCCUUCUUUCAUAGGAAACAGGACAGUAAACUGUUACUGGCAAAGUAGUCUGAGGAGUGCGAUAACUCAAUCGACUGGUUUGAGGCAAUAAUUACUGAUUCUAAUGUCUGCCCUGUCCUGACAACAGUGUUGAUCCAAAUGACAUUUCUCCUUGCCAGCAGUGAGCUGGAGGUCAGAUGAUGGCUGGAUAUUAAAAAGUGUGGUGAGCUGCACAAAACAAUCUGCUGAAUCUAUUUUCUGCUGACAAAGAGGCUGUUUAAUGCUUUUUACUAUUCAAAACCUCCCAUAUUCAAGUACAUUUUAUGACAAAAAUUGAUUAAACAACAAAGACACGGCCAAAUGCACAAAGUUAUGCAAAAUACAACUUUUAUCUGGGAAAAUAAUCUAUAAAAGGAAACACCAAAAAUUAUGCUGUGCCAUGCUGUACUUUCCAUUGUGUAGACAUAAUCUGAGUUCGUCUGUGUUCUGAAAAUUUAAUGACUGAUUUUGGCCACUUGGGGGCAGUGGAUCUGGCUGUAAAUGCAACACUGACUUACUGCAUAUCCUUUAAAGCAGGGGUGCCCAAUCCCAGUCCUCGAGAGCUACUGCCCUGCAGCUUUUAGAUGCGUCCUUGUUCCAGCACACCUGAAUCAAAUGAAUGGCUCGUUAUCAGGCCUUUGCCAGACUUGAUGGCAUGCCGAAUUGGUAAUCCAACUAUUUGAUUCAGCUGUGUUGGAGUAGGAAUGCAUCUAAAAGCUGCAGGACAGUAGCUCUCGAGGACUGGGAUUGGGCACCCCUGUUUUAAAGGUUAUAUGGCACAUAUGUCACCAAACAGUUGCUCACUGUUCUCAGGUUUGUUGCCAACUCUGCCUGAUGUUUGGUGCUGGGCGAGCGGCGUCACAGCAGAGCGUUUUCCCUGGAUAUGGGCAACUUUUGAGUCUUAAAGUACGACUGAUGGGAAAACUACCAUCAUACAAUAAAGCUGAAAAAAUAAAAUAACCAGCAGAACCGAGAGCUGGCCUGAAGCUUCUGUGGGUUCUUCAGUUGCUGCUCCAGUUUCUGGAUCUCCUGCUGGAAGAAAUCCCUCUCAUGUUCUCGGUCUACAGCUUGCUCCUAAAUGCCAAAAUACAGAUGCAAGAGAGAUCAACAAAUAACGAAGACCAAUACUGAUCAAUACCACAUUACACUGAUGACUUCUGUUUCUCCAGGGCCUGGAUCUGCUGUCGGAGGUCCCCGCUCUCUGUCGUCCGAGUGCUCUCCAGCUCCAUCACCCUGUUGACCUGCUCCUCCAGCUCCACCUCCAGCAGCUUCACCUGUUUCAGGAGGUCUGCGACGAAGGAAGGACGUAAAGUUAGGAUCUAAUGAUCGCUGGUUCAGGUUUGAUUUUGGUGAUGGAAGGAAGUUGAGAUGAAGAGUCUGAAGUCUGAGAGCCUUGGGAGUGAAUUAAAUGCUGCUUGCUUUGUACCAAAAUAAUCUACUAACAAUCUAAUGAACAACCCAGUCUUAAUUUUCUACACUGUGGUCACCUUUACAACUGAAUUAAAGGCUAGAAUCAGACUCUUCCAACAUUUCAAUCCACUUCCAAACAUGUCACCAAACAUGAUCCCCCAUCUUUGCCCUUCUGCUGCCACCAGUGAACAACCCACACCGGUUCACCCAGUACCAAAACCCAGAGGAUUAGUGCAAAAGUAACAGGGUGAAAAAGUACAAAUGACAGAUCUAACACAUGGACAGUCCAGACAUUGCAAUAUCCAUGCCCAAUAAGCAUUUACAGGCAGGGGGAAAGUACUCCAUGUAAAGUUAUAAAGAUGAAUGGCGAUUAGGAAACAAUGCCUACAUAAAAAUGUCGUCCAUUUCAUCAUGCUAACAUGAGCGCCAACACUGACAUUUAAAAAUGACAAACCAGGACAAAAAUCAAUCAAAGUGAACAGCCGAAGCACGGGUUAGUGAUUGGACUGAGUGAGUUUGUGAGCCCAUAGCAAGCAAGCUCCAAGCUGUGCUGGUGAGUUGCUGGAUUGGGAGGUUAGAGAUAUACAACAGUGUGACUCAGCUAGACAAAUAAGAGAACAUAUAGACACGACUGAGCCAUGCUCAAAGUGGACACACCUGCUUCAGGUGCUGCAACCAUUGCAGCUUCAACUAGGCCUACAGGAGAAUGAGAAAGCAGAGGAGUUUAACAUGCUCUUGUUUUUGUAAUGAACAGGAAAACUCUUGAGAUAAA